GAAAGUGAAAAGCAGCAAGUGAAACAAUGCAUUGUACAAAAGAAGCUACUGAGACAAACAUUUAAGAUCUUAUCAAACACAGAUCUAAGGCUUAUUCUCGGUGAUGCAUUGAGACUACAAGCAGUGACAGAGACUGAACUAGGCUGACCACUGUUCUGGAGCCUACAGUGAGGAUCCACAGCAAAGAUGUGGAGCUUGCAAAUCACAUGGACACAGAGAGACUUCUGUGAGAAAUUGAACAGGUAACAUCCCUGACAUGGAUCCCUGUUACAUGGUUCCACCUAGACCAUUUUGAGCUGAAGUUUACUUGACUGAAACAAUCUGGAUGCAUCUUCAUGUCACAGAGGAUUAACUGCAUGUUUACAGCUCCUAGCAAUGUUCCGUGCUGUGUCCAGCAUACCUUAUUUCUGUGGAAGAAAACUAACUCAGAUGCACUCAACUUUGUUUCUUUGGAUGCCAAAAUUUAUGCAAAGUGCAUUUCCUGGGUAAGAGUGAUAAAAUAGGCUGUACUUUUGUAAUGUAACUUCUUUGAGAACAACUAUGUCAGCUGCAGGAGAGAAAAGAAGCUGCAAGGAAGAAAGAGGGAACUCUUUAUAUCACUCCAGGUCAUGCAAGAGUCAGUGAUAUUGAGAGAUAAUAGUCACAUAUAGAAAUUUCCAUGCUUCUAGCCAUUGUGACUUUUUAAAGUGUUUAUCCUAAAAAUGUUUACACUUUUAAAAAGUGUUUACAUUAAAACAAACCAGUCUCUACUUUCCCAGGAGAUUUAGAAGAGAUGUUUUAUUUUUUAGCAAUACUUAUCUAGUUAUUAAAAAAACAAAACAAAACAAACAAAAACAAUAACAUAAUGAAAUAAAAUCUAAAAAAUGUGAACAAUUAUUUCCUAUUUACGUCCAAAUAUAUUUUCCUCCUACCUCAGACUUUACAAAAAUGGAAUUUCAGUUGAUUCC
rnacentral:lncRNA from 7 species